rnacentral:rRNA from 1 species
UACGUAGGUGGCAAGCGUUGUUCGGAAUUACUGGGCGUAAAGGGCGCGUAGGCGGCCUUCUAAGUCGAACGUGAAAUCCCCGGGCUCAACCCGGGAACUGCGUCCGAUACUGGAAGGCUUGAAUCCGGGAGAGGGAUGCGGAAUUCCAGGUGUAGCGGUGAAAUGCGCAGAUAUCAGGAGGAACACCAGUGGCGAAGGCGGUGCUCUGGGCCGGAACUGACGCUGAGGAGCGAAAGCGUGGGGAGCAAACAGG